CCAUUUUCCCUUCUUAUUUCCUCCCUUACUUUACGCAUUAACGGAUCUUCUGGACCGUCCUCGCUCUGUCUUCUCCUCUCUCAGAAGAAGAAACGUCGAACCUCUUCUCUCAUUAUGGGUUAAUCACUCUCUUCCUCCCUUCUUCGUUGUUUCUUCUCUCUUCAACUCCAAAAACAGAGACGAAAAAAAAUGUUCAUUUUUCUCUGACGUCAACGUGUUUCAGAAGCAAGUAGUGCGAUUCUGUUGAUUCAAAAAGAAGGGUUUAAGGAUAAGGUUCUGAUCUUAUUUCCGUAGUUCUUCAUUUUUUUCUUAUUUGCUUUUGCUUUUGGCUUUUGAGUAUUUGCUUUUAACAAUACACUGAAUACUCUGUCCUACUCUAACAGUCUUACUUUAAGAAUCAGUUAUUAUAUUAUUUUUGUGUAAUGGAUUUGUGUUGUUGUUGUUGUUGUUGUUGGUAUUACGUAUAUUUGUUUAUGCUUAUCUAGGGUUUGGGGUUUCACUUAUUGAGCAUGGGUUUAUGAAAUAUUUGUUCUGUUUACUUCUGUGUUUGAGAAAAAUGAAAUCCAUUGCCUGUAGUCUUAGAUUUUUCGGUAUAUAAGAUUGGAUUGAAUUUAAGCGAAUAAGGGUUAUGUAGAGGGACAAAAGUGGAUUUUAAAUAUGGUGCUGUAGUCUUAGAUUUUUAUUUUUUUGAAAUUACUUGGAUGUUUGGUUUGAUCUUUAAUAUGUUUAAUAUACAUGAUUUUUGUUAUGAUUUGGGUUACAAUUUGCUAAUGAAUAGUUAUUGAAUUUUUUUUUCUUAUGUUUGGUUUUGAGCAAUGAAAUAUGCGUCGGAGUUUAUACAAGAUAAUGAUAUUGAUUUUGGAACUUUAUGCUUUGUUGGACAUGUUUGGUUGAAAUGAUUCUGUUGUGUCCCUAUGAUUGGCCUAUAGAUGUUUCGAGGAUAAUGACUUCAAUUAUGUUAAUAUUAUUUAGCUUUUAUUUUUUGAUUGUUUGAGAAAAACUAGAAUUUCUUUGCUUGCACUUAUUUGCUGGAUGUCAAAGAGUAAUGCCCAGAAAGGAAUUCUCUAUCCAGUUGAACUUGGGUAUUUUGAAUUAAUAUAUAAAAAUUAAAACAGUGAAAAUGGUAAAUCUAAAUUUGUUGAUGAUAUUAUUAAAAAAUAAAAAAAAAUAAAAACCUGAAGCUUUGAAUCCAUGUUUGCGAGGAUAUGAUGAGGAUAUUGUUGAACACAAUCAAAUAUUCUAGGGAAAGAAAUUUGGCAUGGAAACUUCAAAUUUUUUGGUUUUUGUUUGACUUACGGACCGUCUAUGGUUGCAGCUAGCCUCUGUGGAGAAGUAAUAAAGAUGUUAUGAUUUUUAUUUUAGGUUCUUAUAAUGUUGAAUGAACUGGAUUGAAUGAGAAAAUUAGUUUUUUGCUUUGUUUUGAGUUGAGAUAUCAAUUCUAGAUACUGAUUCAGUUUGGAUUCUUUGGAAAAAAUUGUUGUGUCACUUGUUUGGAUUGAAGGACAAUCAGUGUUUAAUUAGUGCAUAUGUGUAAUGUUUUGUUUGUUUAUUUAAGCUCAAUGUUAUGAUUGCUUCUUUUCUGUUCUAUUCUUUUUUCUUAUUUGUUUGCUAUAUAUAAGCAGAUCAAAUUCAAGGGAGAGAAAUUUCUGGAAUUCGUUUGGAAAGGUUGGAAGAAGGAAGAAAAUCUUGAUUUUCCAAAUUUUGUAGGAUAUUUUGAAUUUUAGGUUUUUUGGACUGUAAUUAAAUUAACUCAUAAAUUCCAUUGUAAUAUUAUUUUUGAAGACUGUAAUUAAUCAAUUCCCAACAUUAAUUGUAAUGUUGAUUUGUAAUUUCUUUUAUAAAAAUGCUUUUCC
rnacentral:lncRNA from 1 species